rnacentral:tRNA from 1 species
UCCCUGGUGGCUCAGAGGGUAAAGUGUCUGCCUUCAAAGCAGGAAACCCAGGUUCGAUUCCUGGGUUGGGAA